UACAGAGGUCCCCAAGCGUUGUUCGGAUUCACUGGGCGUAAAGAGUUCGUAGGCGGUUUGUCGCGUCGUUUGUGAAAACCCGGGGCUCAACUUCGGGCUUGCAGGCGAUACGGGCAGACUUGAGUGUUUCAGGGGAGACUGGAAUUCCUGGUGUAGCGGUGAAAUGCGCAGAUAUCAGGAGGAACACCGGUGGCGAAGGCGGGUCUCUGGGAAACAACUGACGCUGAGGAACGAAAGCGUGGGUAGCAAACAGGAUUAGAUACCCCGGUAGU
rnacentral:rRNA from 1 species